rnacentral:rRNA from 1 species
AGUGAACGCUGGCGGUAGGCCUAACACAUGCAAGUCGAACGGCAGCACAGUAAGAGCUUGCUCUUACGGGUGGCGAGUGGCGGACGGGUGAGGAAUACAUCGGAAUCUACUUUUUCGUGGGGGAUAACGUAGGGAAACUUACGCUAAUACCGCAUACGACCUACGGGUGAAAGCAGGGGAUCUUCGGACCUUGCGCGAUUGAAUGAGCCGAUGUCGGAUUAGCUAGUUGGCGGGGUAAAGGCCCACCAAGGCGACGAUCCGUAGCUGGUCUGAGAGGAUGAUCAGCCACACUGGAACUGAGACACGGUCCAGACUCCUACGGGAGGCAGCAGUGGGGAAUAUUGGACAAUGGGCGCAAGCCUGAUCCAGCCAUACCGCGUGGGCGAAGAAGGCCCUCGGGUUGUAAAGCCCUUUUGUUGGGAAAGAAAAGCAGCAGGUUAAUACCCCGCUGUUCUGACGGUACCCAAAGAAUAAGCACCGGCUAACUUCGUG